UGAGUAACACGUAUGCAACCUGCCUGCCACAGCCGGAUAAUCGGGAGAAAUUCCGUCUAAUACGGCAUAAUGCAUCGACGGGACAUCCUGUUGGUGCCAAAGGUUAAUUCCGGUGGCGGAUGGGCAUGCGUCGCAUUAGUUAGUUGGCGGUGUAACGGACCACCAAGGCGACGAUCAGUAGCCGGCCUGAGAGGGUGAACGGCCACAUUGGGACUGAGACACGGCCCAAACUCCUACGGAAGGCAGCAG
rnacentral:rRNA from 1 species